rnacentral:lncRNA from 1 species
CUUUCUUUUGUAGGCGUUGUGCAGGUAAGACGUGUGUGCGCUAAGAAGUGUGUCUGCCCGCUCCCUCGUCAUGUGUAUGCAACGGAGAAGGUUGGGUCAUGCUGGCCACACUCUAAACAUGGGGCAAACAAACUUCUGAGAAGUCUUGGCAUCCUGCUCCUCCUCUCCUCUUCCUCGUCUGUGUCCAUGUGAUAGUUUAUCUCAGGUCUGCCUCCGCAGAAGAGGAUGCUGUCCGCUGAGGCUUGCGGUCUGGCACAGGUCCUGCCACUACUGUAGAGAGAACCAAACCAGCGUGUCGUCUUCUUUGGAUCCGUGUCACUUGGAACGCUUCCUAGGGGGGUCUCCUUUCACCGUCUGCAAACCACCCAAAGCUGAGCCCUGAAUCUGAGGUGUUUACUGUCUCUGCCCAACACCUGCUGCCAAUCUACUUUUUGACUCGACUGUAUGCCAUCACAUUUCCACUCUCAGUGUGUGUUACUCAGUGUUGUUCCCUGUCCUGCUGCCUGCGCCACUCACCACCUCAUAACAAUCCCCAACCUGCAGCAGGAAGCUGGAAGACGCCUACUGUCCUGGUGCACCUUCCACGAAGGAAUUGGACCCUGCCUAGCACCUGCUUUCCCUGACAGUUGUCAUGUAGGAAGGAGACACGGCCUCGCUUCACCUUCCAUGGAGGAAGGAAUUGGACCCUGCCUAGCACCUGCUUUCCCUGACAGUUGUCAUGUAGGAAGGAGACACGGCCUCGCUUCACCUUCCAUGGAGGAAGGAAUUGGACCCUGCCUCGCACCAGCUCUGCCCUGACACGUUCCCAUGCAGGUGAUGCCUUCAGGGAGGGAGGACUGCCUCUCUGCACCUUCCAUGGAGGAAUUGGACCCUGGCUCGCAUCAGCUGCCCUGACAUGUAAUGUCAUCCAAGGAGGGAGGACGCUGCCUCGCUGCACCUUCCACGAUGUUAGGAGAGUGGCUCGCUUCAUCUAACAUAACCUAACCUAAGCAAUACAUGUUGCCAUCACUUGUAUAAAAUGUUAUUCCUUCUAUCUUGUGUGAAUGUAUGUACCCACAGAAGUGCAGUGUUAUUAUUCCUUCCAUGUUCUGUUAUGAACCCCAUGUAAAAUGUUAUUUCUUCUAUCUAAUGUGAAUGUGUAUCCACAGAAGUGUGAUGUUAUUAUUCCUUUCCAUGUUUUAUGUACAGUGCUAUUAUUCCUUCCAUGUUCCGUGAUGUACCCAUGUAACUCGUGUUAGUGCUUAAUAAUAAAUCAUAAUUAAGAAAAUUGA